CCCCGCACCUGUCGGUCCCCCACCUCCCGGACCCCCGCGUGGCCCCGCGUCCUCACCUGUCGGUCCCCCAUCUCCCACCUCUGGGACCCCCGCGUGCCCCCGCGCCCUCACCUGUCGGUCCCCCAUCUCCCACCUCCCGGACCCCCCGCGUGCCCCCGCGUCCUCACCUGUCGGUCCCCAUCUCUGGGACCCCCGCGUGCCCCCGCGUCCUCACCUGUCGGUCCCCCAUCUCCCAUCUCUGGGACCCCCGCGUGCCCCCGCGCCCUCACCUGUCGGUCCCCCAUCUCCCACCUCCGGGACCCCCGCGUGCCCCCGCGUCCUCACCUGUCGGUCCCCCAUCUCCCACCUCCGGGACCCCCGCGUGCCCCCGCACCCGCACCUGUCGGUCCCCCAUCUCCGGACCCCCGCGUCCUCACCUGUCGGUCCCCCAUCUCCCACCUCCCGGACCCCCGCGUGCCCCCGCGCCCUCACCUGUCGGUCCCCCACCUCCCACCUCCGGGACCCCCGCGCCCGGUCCCCCCGCGGCCGCCCCUCCCGAGCUCACCGUGCGCCCCGCGCUGCCCGCGCUCCCCGCGCCCCCCCGGCCCGGCGGGCUGCAGCCGCAGUGAGCUCACAGCCGCAUCGCGGCGACACGGGGAGGCGCGCGGCCGGUCGUCGCCGGCGCCGGGUCCAGGCCGAGGGCGGCUGCCCCUCCGCUCGGCAUUGAGGAGGCGGGAGGAGGGGCGCGGCGAGGCGCACGGGAAAUCUGAUAGAGCAAUGAAAGUCCCUGAAAAAUGGAUGACACUCUGGUCCGUGAAGCCCAGAGUUUGUUUGGCCCAGGACAUUCGAGAAGUGUUGGAAACUGGCAUGCCGUGUGGUGCAGCGGGCCACAGGGAUGACGGGACUCUAGCAAAGAGGCUCAGACAGCCUACCUCUAACACCGGAUCCAGAAUCAUCUUCACACGGAAAGGAGGGACUGCAUCUCUCUCUCCCCAGAACCAGGAGUACAUCCUUUUUGCAGCACUCCCCGACCUCUCUUGCCCUGAUGCAGCCAGGGAAGGAUGGCCUUCUCACAUGCCUCCUCCGAGAAAAACUCAAAGUCAUUGGUUUUAUGUCCCUGAACCUCGAGUGUGGUGAGCGGGUUCUCCAGAACCAGCAAGGCCAGGACCCUGGUGUCCAGUCCAUAUAGGACCUGCCCCAAGAGCUCUUGAAAACACUGGAGACAAGAUUGUUUUUUGUUUUUUGUUGUUGUUGUUGUUGUUGUUUGGGGGUUUUUUUUAUUGUUUUGUUUUUGUUUUUGUUUUUGACAAGAAUGUUUUUAACUGGGCCUCCUCUGCCAUCACCCGGAGCUCACACCUCAGGUUACCUGCCUCUGUUGGAUUCAAAUUGAUCCAAAUUAAAAUCCCUGCUACAAAUUCCUCCUGGCUUUGCCAUCUCAGUCAGUCAUUGCCCCAAACCUACGGGGCAUUAUGAAUAAACAUUGUAAAAAUGGAAAGUGGUGGUUGCAAACUAGAUUUCUUUAUUCAUUCCUUUGUUCAACACGGAUCUAUGGGGCGUUACUGUAUGUCAGGCACAGUGCUAGACACUAAAAUAGAAACAAAUGGUGCAUCCUGGUGCAUCCUUCAGGAAGAAAUGGUCCCAGCCCAUGGAGGGUUCACAGUGUAACAAGGGAAAGAAGCGUGUGGGUCACAAUUCUCAAGAGCACGAUGAGUGUCAGGAAGGAAGUAGCCUGAGGGAACACUCCCAACACCACCAAAUCCAGUUUCUAAACCAGGUUGUCUCACCUCCCGGCCAGCAAAGCAAACUGCAGGCAGAGGCAGCCAUUUGGGCAGUCGGUCAGGAAAUGUCAGCUCCCCUUCUCCAGAGGAGGUUCCAGAACCUUCCAUCCCAUUUUGUUUGCUGUCCACAUGCCCACACUUGCAUCCUCCUUUUGAAUCUUCUGGACAGCAAUGCCUUCCCGCCUCCUCUCGGACUCUUCUGUGCAGCUCCUGGCUCAGCUGUCGCAUGUACCCCCAUGUCUCCAGUUACCAGCCACUCUUGGCGUCAGGGUGCCCCACGCCCACCAGCUCAGGGCCCAGCUGAGCCAGCCAUGUACCCACUGUCUACCAGCCUCCAGGGUUUCAGAUGAGAACACCGGAGUCAUCCUGAUAUUUGUUCCCAGAUAUGCGAAGUUUCCUUUCUCUGUGGAUGCUUUCAAGGUUUCUUCUUUUUCUUUGGUUUUUAGCAAUUUGUUUUUCCCUGUUUGGAUAUGCUUUUCUUUAGUUUCAUCCUCUUGGGGGUUUGCUGAGUGUCUUGACUCUAUAUAGUCAUAUCUUACUAAAUUUGAGAAGUCUGGGGUCACUGUUUGUGUCUCUCUUCAAGUUCUCUCACUUUUUCCUGUGUCAUCUGUGAGCUCCAUUCCACUAUGGGGUCUGUCUAGCAAUGUUGCCAUUAUCAGAAAGUUGCAUUUUUCACCUCUAAAUUUUAUGUGUUACCUAUCUACUCUGCAUUUCUCUGCUGAGAAAUUCUAACUUUCCAUUUACUUCAAGAUUGUUUCACAGAGUCCGGUUGCAUGUGAUCAUUCCAACAUUUCAGUAAUCUUGGGGUUAGCAUCUCUUGACUGUGUAUUUCCCGUGAGGAUUGGUUGCAUUUUUCGGUUCUUUGUAUGUUCGGUUAACAUGCAUUAUAUUCCGGACAGUUUAAAUAUUGUGGGAUUCUGGGUUAUGUUAAAAUCUUCCAGGGUUAAUGUUUUUUCAUUAUUUUUUAAAGAUUCUAUUUUUUUUAUUUGACAGAGAGAGUGCACAAGCAGGGGGAGUGGUAGGCAGAGGGAGAGGGAGAAGCAGCCUCCCCUUUGAUCAGGGACCCCAAAGUGGGGCUCGAUCCCAGGACCCUGGGAUCAUGACCUGAGCCAAAGGCAGACACUUAACUGACUGAGCCACCCAGGUGCCCCUUCAUUAUUAUUAUCUUAGCAGUCAACCAACCUGGUUAAGUUUAGACCAUGAGUUUUGUUUUACCCUCUAUGGCCAUGCUUCAAUGUCUAUUCAGUUUUCAAAGUCAGAAUUAUCUCUACAUUCUCCAGCUCCUGAUGACCCCCCUUUCUUGU
rnacentral:lncRNA from 1 species